CUACGGGUCGCACCAGUGAGGAAUAUUGCACAAUGGGGGGAACCCUGAUGCGGCAACGCCGCGUGGAGGAUGACGCAUUUCGGUGUGUAAACUCCUUUUAUAUGUCAAGAAAAUGACGGUAGCAUAUGAAUAAGCACCGGCUAACUCCGAGCCAGCAGCCGCGGUAAUACGGAGGGUGCAAGCGUUACUCGGAAUCACUGGGCGUAAAGGACGCGUAGGCGGGGUGGAAAGUCAGGUGUGAAAUCCUACAGCUUAACUGCAGAACUGCACUUGAAACUUCUAAUCUAGAGUAUGGGAGGGGGAGAUGGAAUUAGUGGUGUAGGGGUAAAAUCCGUAGAUAUCACUAGGAAUACCUAAAGCGAAGGCGAUCUCCUGGAACAUUACUGACGCUAAGGCGUGAAAGCGUGGGGAGCAAACAGGAUUAGAUACCCCCGUAGUC
rnacentral:rRNA from 1 species